AUUGAACGCUGGCGGCGGGCUUAACACAUGCAAGUCGAGCGGAGAGAGGUAGCUUGCUACUGAUCUUAGCGGCGGACGGGUGAGUAAUGCUUAGGAAUCUGCCUAUUAGUGGGGGACAACAUUUCGAAAGGAAUGCUAAUACCGCAUACGUCCUACGGGAGAAAGCAGGGGACCUUCGGGCCUUGCGCUAUCAGAUGAGCCUAGGUCGGAUUAGCUUGUUGGUGAGGUAAUGGCUCACCAAGGCGACGAUCCGUAACUGGUCUGAGAGGAUGAUCAGUCACACUGGAACUGAGACACGGUCCAGACUCCUACGGGAGGCAGCAGUGGGGAAUAUUGGACAAUGGGCGAAAGCCUGAUCCAGCCAUGCCGCGUGUGUGAAGAAGGUCUUCGGAUUGUAAAGCACUUUAAGUUGGGAGGAAGGGUUGUAGAUUAAUACUCUGCAAUUUUGACGUUACCGACAGAAUAAGCACCGGCUAACUCUGUGCCAGCAGCCGCAGUAAAAC
rnacentral:rRNA from 1 species